rnacentral:rRNA from 1 species
GACGAACCGAGCGAACGUUGUUCGGAAUCACUGGGCUUAAAGGGCGCGUAGGCGGGCAUCCAAGUCAGUGGUGAAAUCCUCCGGCCUAACCGGAGAAGAGCUGUUGAUACUGGGUGCCUCGAGUGGUGCAGGGGUCUGCGGAACUUCCGGUGGAGCGGUGAAAUGCGUAGAGAUCGGAAGGAACGCCGGUGGCGAAAGCGGCGGACUGGGCACCUCCUGACGCUGAGGCGCGAAAGCCAGGGGAGCAAACGGG